GAUGAACGCUGGCGGCGUGCUUAACACAUGCAAGUCGAACGGUGAAGGCGGAGCUUGCUCUGCUGGAUCAGUGGCGAACGGGUGAGUAACACGUGAGCAAUCUGCCCCUGACUCUGGGAUAAGCGCUGGAAACGGCGUCUAAUACUGGAUACGAGCUGCGAAGGCAUCUUCAGCAGCUGGAAAGAAUUUCGGUCAGGGAUGAGCUCGCGGCCUAUCAGCUUGUUGGUGAGGUAAUGGCUCACCAAGGCGUCGACGGGUAGCCGGCCUGAGAGGGUGACCGGCCACACUGGGACUGAGACGCGGCCCAGACCCCGCGGGGGGGAAGCGGGGGGAAAUAUUGCAAAAGGGGCGAAGGCCUGAUGCAGCAACGCGGCGGGGGGGAGGACGGCUUUGGGUUUGAAAACUUUUUUUAGCGGGAAAAAAGGGAAAGGGGGGGUCCUUGAAAAAAAGGCGCGGGCUAACUAGGUC
rnacentral:rRNA from 1 species